rnacentral:lncRNA from 1 species
UGUUAUGGUUCAAUUGGUUUCUUUUCAGUUGGAUAUAUAUGUGGUUUUGUGAAGUUAAAUAAAGUGCUUAUGGUUUUCAUAUGAAAUUAUGAAAAUAAUUUUUUACCCCUCGUGGUGGCUUGUUUUUAAAGGAAAAGGUUUCCGUGUAGAAAAUAGUUUUAAAAAAGGUUUUUCGCUUUUCAUGAUUUUUAAUAUUUCAAAAUGAGUUUCCUGGUGGGAAAAUGUUUUAAACUAAUAGAUGUUGAUUUAUUAAGAAAAUAUUGUAAUCUUGUGAUUGACUGAAUGUGAAUCGGAUUAUGUGAUGUGGUGAAUGUAUAUGGUUGUAUAUAUAUACUGUGGUUGUAUCUUGUACUUAUGUGACGCCGUGCAAAUAUAGAAGAGACUCUGUCCGUGUGAACAGUGAGUUUCCUAUAUUUGUGGCAGAU